rnacentral:tRNA from 1 species
GGUAGGAUGGCUGAGCCUAAGCGGUGGAUUGUAGUCCCACAGACAGAGGUUUGUCCCUCUUUCUACCA